CGCCUGGGGAGUACGGCCGCAAGGUUAAAACUCAAAUGAAUUGACGGGGGCCCGCACAAGCGGUGGAGCAUGUGGUUUAAUUCGACGCAACGCGAAGAACCUUACCUGGCCUUGACAUCCAGAGAGCUUUCCAGAGAUGGAUUGGUGCCUUCGGGAACUCUGAGACAAGUGCUGCAUGGCCGUCGUCAGCUCGUGUCGUGAGAUGUUGGGUUAAGUCCCGUAACGAGCGCAACCCCUAUCCCUGGUUGCUAGCAGGUAAUGCUGAGAACUCCAGGGAGACUGCCGGUGACAAACCGGAGGAAGGUGGGGAUGACGUCAGGUCAUCAUGGCCCUUACGGCCAGGGCUAUACACGUGCUACAAUGGCGCGUACAGAGGGCUGCCAACUCGCGAGAGUGAGCCAAUCCCUUAAAACGCGUCGUAGUCCGGAUCGGAGUCUGCAACUCGACUCCGUGAAGUCGGAAUCGCUAGUAAUCGCGAAUCAGAAUGUCGCGGUGAAUACGUUCCCGGGCCUUGUACACACCGCCCGUCACACCAUGGGAGUGGAUUGCACCAGAAGUAGUUAGUCUAACCUUCGGGAGGACGAUUACCACGGUGUGGUUCAUGACUGGGGUGAAGUCGUAACAAGGUAACCGUA
rnacentral:rRNA from 1 species